UCCAGUAAGGGUAAAAUCUUUGCGUGGCAGGGGCAGCUGCCAUUUAACCUGCCACCGCUAUGUGCGCCUGCCAGUGGCAGCUGCCACCGUCAAUUGCGCCUGCCACCGGACCUGCCACCGCUAUGUGCGCCUGCCAGUGGCAGCUGCCACCGUCAAUUGCGCCUGCCACCAAACCUGCCACCGCUACACCGGACCUGCCACCGCCAAUUGCGCCUGCCACCAAACCUGCCACCGCUAUGUGCGCCUGCCACGUCCCCAGUAACCGCCUGCCUCGCGACCCGUCACCCCUAUAGCAAACGGGUGGCGUGAAGCUUAGGUGCUGUGCGCUCCAUUAUGGUUUUAAAGGGAGGAAUAAUCCAGCAAAUAGCGCGCGUCCCGCCUGCUCUGAUUGAUGUGCGUAAGGAAACAGAAUGCAACCACAACUCUGCCUGCCCCAUAUGACACACCAGUCAGAUCUCGGCACAGCUGUCAAAGAACAUGUUACAGCCAAGAGCUUAGACACCAUACUACAAGAACACUGGCAAAAAUAUGAUUGGAAGAUUUUCAACCAAACAGGAGGCAUGGUAAAGUCGAAGAUGAAUCAGCUGGUCAGUGUGAAGCAACUCAGGAGACAUUUUGAGACCUUUUGCUUCCAUCUCUGCCAUCUAAGAAAAUGUAAAGGGAAUUUGAAG